rnacentral:tRNA from 1 species
GGGCAGAUAGCUCAGUUGGAAGAGUGUCCCUCCGGGAAAAGGAAGGUCCCGAGUUCAACCCUCGGUCGGCCCA